rnacentral:lncRNA from 1 species
AGGAAAGACUGACUCUCUAACAGUGAAGGCUGAAACACUGGAGUCAAUGAAAACAACAAGACAGACAUGAUCCUAACUCCGCAGUACCAAGAAAAAUCCUAACUUAGGUCGAAGGAAAUCUAAACCUAAGCUCUGAUACCAACUUUGUCACGACCCCACCCGUGGGCCCGUGACCGGCACUAGGGAAUGGGUAGGCUUAAGGCCACCGAAACCCGUAGUAAGCCUGACACUCACUGAUUUAAACAAAUCUCAACUCAAAUUUAUAUUAUUAAAACCAUAAAUUAUCUUAAUA